rnacentral:rRNA from 1 species
UGUUGGGUAGGGGAGCGUUCUGUAAGCCUGCGAAGGUGUACUGUGAGGUAUGCUGGAGGUAUCAGAAGUGCGAAUGCUGACAUAAGUAACGAUAAAGCGGGUGAAAAGCCCGCUCGCCGGAAGACCAAGGGUUCCUGUCCAACGUUAAUCGGGGCAGGGUGAGUCGACCCCUAAGGCGAGGCCGAAAGGCGUAGUCGAUGGGAAACAGGUUAAUAUUCCUGUACUUGGUGUUACUGCGAAGGGGGGACGGAGAAGGCUAUGUUGGCCGGGCGACGGUUGUCCCGGUUUAAGCGUGUAGGCUGGUUUUCCAGGCAAAUCCGGAAAAUCAAGGCUGAGGCGUGAUGACGAGGCACUACGGUGCUGAAGCAACAAAUGCCCUGCUUCCAGGAAAAGCCUCUAAGCAUCAGGUAACAUCAAAUCGUACCCCAAACCGACACAGGUGGUCAGGUAGAGAAUACCAAGGCGCUUGAGAGAACUCGGGUGAAGGAACUAGGCAAAAUGGUGCCGUAACU